GUUACUAUUCUCAUUCUUUUGGUGUUGUUACCAUUCCUUUAAAAAUAGACCUACAUACAUGCAUGUGUGUAUGUUUAUGUAUCUCCUUCUACUCAUCACAAAGGGCUUUGCAGCGAGUUGAGCCUCUGGAGGCCUGGCUGGCUCACAUUUUGUAAAGUUUUGUUUAAGCCUUAGCUUCGCCUAGUGGGUUACCGUCCACGGGGCCGCAAAGAGUUGGACACGACUGAGCGACUUCACCUUCACCUUCACCUUCGUAGUUUUCCCUAGUUUCUGAGAUAGCGUUGGAUCCACUGUAUUAGGCCUCCAGGAAAGAAUACAGUCAUUGGCUCCACCCCUUGAAUUCACAGUCUCGGGGAGGAAAGCCUUUCACUACCUGCCUAGUGCAUGCCGUUCUGUCCUGCUUACACAGCUCUUAGACAUCAUCCACACGAAGAGUGUUGUCCAGAGCGCUGAGGACUCAGGGACAAGGCACCUCUUACAGUCUUUCCAGCCCGGGCAUAUCUGCAGACCUCCUUCUCCUUGGCCGCAGCGUGGUAAAGUGCCUCCAGUUUGCUCUGAAGUGGUGCUGUCUAACGUGCAUGUUUUUGGACCCAAGCUUAACUUUUCAAAUGUGGAAUGCUAGGCCUUCAUUGGUAAGUUUGUUUGAUGCCUUCUUACCGAAUUAUGCUAUCAAGGAUUGGUAUUUGGAAUGAAGGGCAAGGUCGUUAUCACUGGUACUGCUCUGUGAAGGGUACUGCACCUGUACUCUGGAGAAGCCCACAGCGUAGGUGGAAAAGAUCUGCAGGAGAAGGGAUCUCAAUUUAUGUUUCUGUGGUCGAUUCAGAGAGAGAGGCCAGAGGGGAAGUAUCCCAGGUGCAGAGGAUAGAUAAAGCUGGCCUCAGAGAGGCAGAGCUUGACUGUGUUCUGAAUGAUUGACAAGUCCAGCUGGGGGAUGAAAUAUGCUUCUCUGGCUUGAGAAGGUGGGUAUAAGAUGGAAAGAAAGUGGACUCAGCAAAAGACCCACGAGAACAAAAAUUUCAUCCAAACGAGUGGUGAGUAAGAAGUUUGGCAGGAUCUGCUGGUGGCUGAUUACUCUAAACCAGGGUCAGCAAACUUUUUCUGUAAAGGAUCAGAUGGUAAAUAUUUUCGGCUUCCUAGGCCAUAUGGUCUCUAUCAUGGCUCCUCAACUCUGCCAUUGUAGCGGGAAAGCAGCCAUAGAUAAUAUGUCUGUGAUGGUGUGGCUGUGUUCCAAUUAUACUUUAUUUACAGAAACAGAUAGUGGACCGAAUUUGGCCUGUGGGCUAUAGUUUGCCCACCCCUUUUUAGACCCUGAAUGCUAGGCUGAGGCACUUGGAGACAGCAAGAAGCCAUUGAAGUUAUUUGGAGCAAAGAAGUAAAAUGGCUGAAGUAACAUGUUAGGGGCAUUCUGGACAAGAAGCAUAGACUCUGUUCCAAGGCAGCAGCAGCAGUCCAGGCAUGAAGUCACGUGGCUAACGACAGUUAAGAUGGAGCAAAGGACCAAAAGAAGAGAUAGUGCAAAGGGAGGAACGCAGGGCUUAUGGUAUUGUUAGACUUUAAAGACAGGAGCCAAAGAAGAUGAAUGUUUAAACGUGAUAGUUCAUAACCAUUGACCAAAAUGUGGCAGUUUGGGGUGGAGAAGGAUAGUUGGUGCACCCAGUUUUAGGUAUACUGAAUUCGAGGUGGCAGUGGUUCAUCCACAGGACGUGUCUAAUACAUCACUGCAGAUACACGGUCAGCACCUGGGCUGGGAAGGGUGGGCCUGGAGAUGUAGAAGAGAAGCAUAGGAUUAAUACGCUCUCCCCGUGAUGUGCCGAGGGCGGAGCCUUAGUGAGUGUGCAUAACUCUGGGAUGGAAAAAACAGAAACUGGAAGAGAACCAGAUGCCGAGAGGGAGAGAGUCUCAGGAAGCAGAGAGGAUGGGGCAGCAGAGACCAAGGAGAAAGGGACCUGAGGGAAGGCUGCUGUUAGUGAUAAGGUGGUUACAGCUGGCCUUGAGAACAUGCUGCGGGGAGGCAGAAGGGGGGAGGCAGCGAGGUUGCACAGGGUCCAUCAUAAACGAGGGAUCAAGAAUCAGAGAUAUUAGUAAAAAGAGACCAGUUAUGGAGAGUUUGAGUGGUGAAAGAAAGGAGAUACAAAGAUUUCAGCAUCUGAAUGCCAAAAUAAGCUUUUUAGCUUUGAGGCCAGCAAAGCAUGCUGUGACCGGUCUCCUGUCCUCUGGAGCCAAGUGUGUUUGGGAGUUUGUGUGUACCUUGGGCUUGCGAUUGUGUUCUUACGCUUUGUUUGAGGUGUGGCGUUCCGAGCUCUGCUACAACUUGCACCAGUGGAAUCCAGUCCAUGUCUGGACCCCUGCCACGAGACAAGAUGCGAUCUGUUGGGGAAAUAGUUGCAUUUGCCUGAAUUGGAGGAGAAAAUAGGAUAGAGCAAGAAAUGGAAAUGAAACUCCUUACCGCAGAGUCUGCCCAAGUAUGGGAAUUUGAGACAGUUCCUCAAGUCACUCAACUAGAUAGCAGUUUAUGUUUUGAACACUUUGAGUGUAUGUCCUUGGGUUUGAAUUCCGAGUAGUUUUUGGCUCACUUUUCACAAAUAUAUCAGGUAGAGAUGGAGUCAUUAAAGCAACAGGUGGAACAGGUUUGCAGCCUCUGUUUGGUGAAAUCUCACUGAGUUCCAGGCACAGUGCUGAGUGCUCUGUAGGUAUCAUUUUAAUUUCAUCUUUGCAACAACCAGUGACAGAGGCAUUAGUGUUUCCACUUCAGCAAUAGGAAAUCAAAUCACAAGAGACUGAGUAACCUGCCUGAGGUUAGAAGGGAUUUGAACCCAGAGUAUCUGACCCCUGGUUUGCACUGCUUUCUGUUUCCCACCUAAUUCCCACCUAAAUCCGGAAUUGCUCCUCUGUCUUAUGUAGAAGGAUUGGAGUCAGCAUGAGCUCUUAAGGUUAAAUACUUAGAGCUACAACGGGUGUUCCUGCUUCUUAGGAGUCUAUUAAAAGGAUGGCAGGAGUGUGGGACCCUUGGAAGAGACUAAGGCCAAACUUCAAACACUUACUUGACUGUUUCCCCAGCUGAAAUGUCCCUUUAGGUGGAGAAGGCAGCACCCUUGGGCUUGGAAAGGAAAUCUCACUAGAAGGCGUGACAGUCAGAUUCCAGUCCUAGCUCUGCGGCAGUGAUAAUCUGCUUUUUGUUGAAAUACUUGACUUUCUCUCUGCUCACCUCCAACUUCAGGUUCCAAGGGCAGAGUCCUGUUUU
ensembl:lncRNA